GGGCUGCUGCCUAUCCGCCCCGCUAGGGGUCCGGCGAGGGCGCGAGGCGGCGAGCGGGCGACCCCGACUGGCGACUAGGGAGGAGCGAGGCUCCAGCCGCGUCGGAGCCGGCGAGGAAAGCAAGAUGAAUAUAUAAAAGGAACAAGACAUUGAAUUCUUUUUUCAUAUUCAAACCAUCAAAACCGCGGAAACAGGUGCUUCAACUCAAACAACUGAUAAUCACCCUAAUGUUAGAGCUGAACUCAAACCCGAUGAUGUUGAAUCGGACUCCUUUAAGAGAAUACCCAUUGAGGAUUUGGAUGUAGACAUUAGAGGUCUUACUAGAGGGGAGUACAUUAGAAUGGGUCCUUGCCAACCAACUAAUCAUACAUAUGAAAAGAUCAAUGAUAGAAGUUUUCAUAACUAUUGGUUCGGUAAUCAUCGUGGCUGAUUGGAAUAUAGCAUUGAAAAGAAAUCAGCCUUCUGCUUUUAUUAUUUUCCGUUUAAGCAACCAAGAGUUGAAAACUAUGGUAUUGAAGCAGUCACGAAACAUGGAUUCAGGAUUUGGAAGGAUGGGCCUAAAGUUUUUAAUCAACAUGUUGGCAAGCAUGAUAGUGCUCAUAGUAAAUCUAGGCAACAUUAUGAGGAUUUCAAAAAUCAAAGACAAAAAUCUGCCACAUGUGUUUGAUAGGGGUUCUCAGAAGCAAGAAGAAGAAUACAAAGCUCGUCUCUUACUAUAUUGAGUAUUGUCAAAUUUUGAUUUUCCUUUUGUAUACAGAAUCUUUCAUAAUAAAUCUUUUGUAUCAUCUAUCUAUGCUACAUAUUGUCCUUUGAUGUGUC